rnacentral:sRNA from 1 species
AGUUAAACAAAUUUAUUGUGAAAUAUGGAUAAAUGCCAAAAGCAACAAAUUGGAGGACAUUGUGGAAUAUAAACGUGAUUAUGUUGACUUGGGCCCUGAGAAUAUAAGAUAACAUAUUUGGAUCCAGAUCACGUAGUAUCAAAAUGCUAAGAUUGCGGUGUUGCCGACAAGGAAAAGACGUUCAAAAUGGAAUCGAACAUUUUUUUUAGAGGCCUGGAACCAUUAG